rnacentral:rRNA from 1 species
AAAGAUUUAUCGGUGAAAGAUGAGCAUGCGUCCCAUUAGCUAGUUGGUAUGGUAACGGCAUACCAAGGCUACGAUGGGUAGGGGUCCUGAGAGGGAGAUCCCCCACACUGGUACUGAGACACGGACCAGACUCCUACGGGAGGCAGCAGUGAGGAAUAUUGGACAAUGGGCGCAAGCCUGAUCCAGCCAUGCCGCGUG